CGAUAAGUAAAUACAUUUUGACAAAAGUCCGACGAUGAUAUAAUAUGUUCUCAUUGUAGCUGUACCUGUGGAAAAUUGAUGAAAUACACAUGGGAGUAAAUAUACAGCCAGUAACAAACAUUUGAGAGAAACAGAAAUAAUAGAAAAACACUUUCUUCUGAUAAAACAAUAAUGGAAAACAAAUAUAAUGUUUUCUUGUUUUAUAUACUAGUAUAUGUUAGUUUUAUGUUAAAAUAUGUACGAUUCUGACAACAUAAAAAGACAAACUUUGCAAAUAGUUUACUAAAAUGGAUCACAUGAAUCAUUCAUACUUUGAUAUUUUCGUAUAUCAGAUAAUGAUUCAAUUUUCUCUCGUGACUUAGUAUUAUAUCAAUUUCGAAAUAAUUAGCUACACUGCAUAAAAAAGUGUUACAAAACUACAAUGAAUUAUUGACAUUUUAGUGUCCGUUGUUAGAAAAAUAACCUAAACCAUUCGAAUUGAUUUUACUUUUUUAUGCAUCCUACAAUUAAUUUUAGUGCAGAACCUUUCGUAUUGAAAAGCAUUACAACGUGUCGGAUUAGUAUUUAAGCAAUUGUUUCGUUACAAAUUGAAAUUGUACAUUUUUCUAGUCCUUCAAGUUAUAGUUCAGGUUAACCACAAUAUGUCUAUACCCUACACUGUAUUUCUGAAUGUGAAUUCAAUCAUCAGACAUAUAUUUCAUUAAUCCGUUGUUUCUGCCACUUUUAACCACGUAGAUGUAUUAUAUUUCCAUUUUGUAUUUUAGUAAUGUAAUAUAAUGUAAAUUUAUAAUUUUUGUGAAUGUUAAUUUUCUUUUUUUUAUAGAAUUUUAUGAUUAUAUUUCAAUACGUAUUUUUUAUUUUUAAUAAGAUACACAGGCAAAUUUUGUUCACGUGAAUUUAACGUGGAAUUAACGUGAAUUUCACGUGAAUUUCACGUAAAAUACUGAUUCACGUGAAAUUCACGUGAAAUUUUUCAUGUGAAAUUCACGUGAAUUGAGCCUUCACGUGAAAUUCACAUGAACUUUUCACGUGAAAUUAACAUGAAUCGAGCUUUUUUUUUUAAAUGAAAUUAAAGUGAAUUCAGCCUCAAUCACACUAAUUUCACAGGAUUUGAGCUUAUUUAUGUAAGUCAAUUAUAAUCUAAUACAAAUUCUGUUUUGAUAUAUAUAAACAUGAAAAAUAUUCUUCUUGGUCUUGACCAUGUGUUCAUACUUCCAUUCUAUUUUACUUUCUUUGUUUCCAAAAUGUUUUGGUCUUAAACAAAGAAGGCAAGCAAAUGCAUCACAGAAUAUAAAUAAUAUCCAGGGCACCUUAGUUCACUCCUAGAACUUUUUAGGUUGUUUUGAGUCUCAAUCCUUUUGUGUUAAUGAUUUAUGGACUGUGGUCAUUUAUAGAAGUUGAUUGCACUGAUGCAUAUUUCAUUUGAGUUGAUUUUUAUUAUGUUUGUAUAAGUCAUAUUGUGUGGUCAUCAGUUUUGACACAAACCAAUCACAUUAUGGAAAAGACCUAUUUGCAAAAGAUGCCAAUUCUUUUUAAGAAGGUUUUGAAGAAAACAAACUAGUUCACCUCGCCACAUAUUCAUGUACCUGUUUAAAGCCAGAAACCUUUUCAGUGAAUGUCUAAAAUCUCCUCUUAAUAAAAAGAAAAUAUUCAGAGAAUUUGGUGUUGAUGGCUAUUUUUGAUUCAUAUUGUAUUUUUUUUUAAAGCCUCUGGUCAAUUAAAUAGAUCAUGGCAUAUCUUUUAGACACCUGUCUUUUGUUGAGGACUGCAUGUUAGCACCUUAAUGCCUUUCAUGUGUUUUUGUUGUUUUAUUGCUGGCUGAUUGAUGUAUACCUCAUAUUUCAUUGUACUAAUAAACUCAAAAUAGAAAGUUCUGUGAAAUAUAGCUGAUAUACACAUGUACCAUAUUGAAAGGCUCUCUGUAAUUUACAACCAUUUACUUCUUAUUUCAUAUAUGCAAAAAUAGUUUUUUUCUCAUUUUAACACUGAUCUCAAGGUUAAGGCAAAAUGUUGACAAACAACAGGCAUAUAUCAUUAACAAAUCUCAAAGUUUGGCUGCACAAUCAGCUAAAAAUUCUUGUUAUUUCAUUUUUUUAUAUAAAAUUCAUUUUAAAACAUGUAUUUUCAUUUUUUUUUACUGUAACUUGUAUUUUGACACAAUAAUUUGAAUUUGAAUUGUAUUAUAUUUUGAAAGUACUUGUGGUUGAAAAAAUAUACACAAUAGUUAAUUCCA